rnacentral:lncRNA from 1 species
UGUGUCAUGAGUACUAUUGUUUGUCUGUUUGGUUUUUUUCAUUUUAAGCCACGGCGUUGUCAGGUUUUUUUUUCGAUUUAUGAGUUUGACUGUCCCUCUGGUAUCUUUCGUCCCUUCUUUUUUUUUAACGCAGGUCAUUUAUUAUACUGUAAGAAUGACUAAGAUGUGUUUGUCACAUACUAAUUUCAUGGUCAGUCCUGUCAUGCUGUCCUAUUUUGUUUUACAUGUUUGUUUUUAUUCUGUG